rnacentral:rRNA from 1 species
UACAUAGGGUGCAAGCGUUGUCCGGAAUUAUUGGGCGUAAAGAGCUCGUAGGCGGUUUGUUGCGUCGGCUGUGAAAUCCCGAGGCUCAACCUCGGGUCUGCAGUCGAUACGAGCAAACUAGAGUGUUGCAGGGGAGACUGGAAUUCCUGGUGUAGCGGUGAAAUGCGCAGAUAUCAGGAGGAACACCGGUGGCGAAGGCGGGUCUCUGGGCAACAACUGACGCUGAGGAGCGAAAGCGUGGGGAGCGAACAGG